rnacentral:rRNA from 1 species
AGAGUUUGAUCAUGGCUCAGGAUGAACGCUAGCUACAGGCUUAACACAUGCAAGUCGAGGGGAAACGAUAUUGGAAGCUUGCUUCCGAUAGGCGUCGACCGGCGCACGGGUGAGUAACGCGUAUCCAACCUGCCCACCACUUGGGGAUAACCUUGCGAAAGUAAGACUAAUACCCAAUGACGUCUCUAGAAGACAUCUGAAAGAGAUUAAAGAUUUAUCGGUGAUGGAUGGGGAUGCGUCUGAUUAGGCUUGUUGGCGGGGUAACGGCCACCAAGGCUACGGAUCAGUAGGGGUUCUGAGAGGAAGGUCCCCCACAUUGGAACUGAGACGCGGUCCAAACUCCUACGGAGGCA